CCUACGGGUGGCAGCAGUGAGGAAUAUUGGUCAAUGGGCGCGAGCCUGAACCAGCCAAGUCGCGUGAGGGAAGACGGUCCUAUGGAUUGUAAACCUCUUUUGUAGGGGAGCAAAAGACGCCACGCGUGGCGUUCCGAGAGUACCCGAACAUAAAGCAUCGCCAAACUCCGUGCCAGCAGCCGCGGUAAUACGGAGGAUGCGAGCGUUAUCCGGAUUUAUGGGGGUUAAAGGGUGGGCAGGGGGAAGAUAAAGUCAGCGUUAAAAUUGACAGGCUCAACCUCUUCGAGCCGUUGAAACUGGUUUUCUUGAGUGAGCGAGAAGUAUGCGGAAUGCGUGGUGUAGCGGUGAAAUGCAUGGAUAUCACGCAGAACUCCGAUUGCGAAGGCAGCAUACCGGCGCUCAACUGACGCUCAUGCACGAAAGUGUGGGUAUCGAACAGGAUUAGAUACCCUGGUAGUC
rnacentral:rRNA from 1 species